rnacentral:rRNA from 1 species
AGCUGACGGAGCAUGCCGCGUGAGGGACGAAGGCCUUUGGGUUGUAAACCUCUUUUGUCAGGGAAGAUAAUGACGGUACCAUAUCGAAUAAGCACCGGCUAACUCCUUGCCACCAGCCGCGGUAAUACGGAGGAUGCUAGCGUUAUUCGGAAUUAUUGGGCGUAAAGCGUACGUAGGCUGCUAAUUAAGUCUGUUGUGAAAGCCCGAGGCUCAACCUUGGAUCUGCCGUUGGAAACUGAAUAUCUAGAGUAGAGAUAGGGGCAGGAGGAAUUCCGUGUGUAGAGGUGAAAUGCGUAUAUAUUUGGAAGAACACCAUUGGCGAAAGCGUCCUGCUGGAUCUCUACUGACGCUGAAGUACGAAAGCUAGGGGAGCGAACGGGAUUAAAUACCUCGGUAGUCCACGCCAUAAACUAUGGUGACUAGGUGUUGGUCGUAUCAUCCCCCUCAGUGGUCGGGGCUAACACUGACUUUACCCCGCCGGGGGGAGUACGGUCGCAAGAUUGAAGCUAGUAGGGUUUGUCGGUU